UACGUAGGGUGCAAGCGUUAAUCGGAAUUACUGGGCGUAAAGCGUGCGCAGGCGGUGAUGUAAGACCGAUGUGAAAUCCCCGGGCUUAACCUGGGAACUGCAUUGGUGACUGCAUCGCUGGAGUGCGGCAGAGGGGGAUGGAAUUCCGCGUGUAGCAGUGAAAUGCGUAGAUAUGCGGAGGAACACCGAUGGCGAAGGCAAUCCCCUGGGCCUGCACUGACGCUCAUGCACGAAAGCGUGGGGAGCAAACAGG
rnacentral:rRNA from 1 species